rnacentral:rRNA from 1 species
AUUGAACGCUGGCGGCAGGCCUAACACAUGCAAGUCGAGCGGAGCGGCGGACGGGUGCGUAAUGCCUAGGCAUCUGCCCGUUAGUGGGGGAUAACCUCGGGAAACGGGCUCUAAUACCGCCUUCUCCCAGAUUACCCUAGGUCGGAUUAGCUAGUUGGUGGGGUAAAGGCCUACCAAGGCGACGAUCCGUAACUGGUCUGAGAGGAUGAUCAGUCACACUGGAACUUAGACACGGUCCAGACGCCUACGGGAGGCAGCAGUGGGGAAUAUUGGACAAUGGGCGAAAGCCUGAUCCAGCCAUGCCGCGUGUGUGAAGAAGGUCUUCGGAUUGUAAAGCACUUUAAGUUGGGAGGCGUUACCAACAGAAUAAGCACCGGCUAACUUCGUGCCAGCAGCCGCGGUAAUAC